UAGGCCUAACGCAACCAGCACCGCUGCCCUCCCUCUCCCAGCUCCCACCCUGACGCAACUUGCAGAGACGUUUGUUACAUUUGGAUCACGCGCGCACUGUCCUAGUUCAGCCAGCCGCCCGCGCCAGAGAGAGCCGAGGUCGACUCAUCCCGAAGUAGCUGACGGUCGACUCACCCCGAAGAAGCUCAAAUGUCCUUCUCUUUCGUGAGGAUUUCGCAACUAGCAAAAACUCAGUGCAGUGGAAUGCCCGGAGGUCCUGGUCAACAAAAGAAAAGGGAAGUGACUGAACCUGAAGAAGUCAAACUACUGUCCGGAUUCUCCACAAGGGCAAAAUGCUGGAGUGAUGGAGGGGCAUUUAGAUGGAGGUAAUGAAGAAAGACCCAGACAACACAACAGUGGAUGAAGUGAUGUCUGCUACUUUCUCGCUUCGCCGUAAAGAAACAGUUGGGGAUCAACCCAUGGUUGCCGACAGCAUGGAGAGAUGGCCGGCCAUGUUUUCUGAACGACAGGCCCAUGGUGACACACUUGGAGAAGCAACGAAAGACAUCCACCUUGGAAUUCUGAUUAGCUACGAAGUCAACCAGGAGGGAGCCUUUCCAGCAGCUUGUUUCGGAAGUUGUGGACUCAAGCUGAGGCGUUGUCUGGUUGUAUUUUCACUACCACACGUUGCAGAAACGAAUACGUACUUCAUGGCGCUCGGACACUGCAGGUUAACCGCAUAUAUUAUGCCUAACAG